CGAAAAGCUAAUAUUCAGUACUUUUUGAAGCAAUCUACUAACGUUUGUCAAAUUUGUGGAGAUGGAAACUGUGGAACUAAUCAAUGUGAUUCAAAAUUUUGUGAUGCUUUUGAGGUAAAGGAUGGUGCCUUUCUUGGCAAUAUGAAGGCGGUUGGUUCACGUGUAGAAAUCACGUGUCACAAAUAUUUCAAGGAAGUGUCAGGAAAGACGCAUUCGGUCUGUCAGAGAAAUGGGACAUGGUCACACUAUCCAAGUUGCAUUCCAAAUUUCACAUACAUCGGUUGCUUUGAAGAUCGACCAGACAGGAUUCUAUAUGACAGAGAUAUUAGGCCGCCAUCAUUGACAACAGACAUGUGUAUCAGAAUGUGUAUUGAAUAUGAUCAUGAAUAUUCAUUA